UGGGGAAUUUUACACAAUGGGCGAAAGCCUGAUGUAGCGACACCGCGUGAGCGAAGAAGCCUUUUGGGGUGUAAAGCUCUGUCAGCAGGGACGAAAAAAAUGACGGUACCUGCAGAGGAAGCAUCGGCUAACUACGUGCCAGCAGCCGCGGUAAGACGUAGGAUGCAAGCGUUGUCCGGAUUUAUUGGGCGUAAAGAGUUCGUAGGCGGUUUGUUAAGUCUGAUGUUAAAGACUGGGGCUCAACCCUGGGAGUGCAUUGGAUACUGGCAGACUCGAGUGCAGUAGAGGCAAGCGGAAUUCCAGGUGUAGCGGUGAAAUGCGUAGAUAUCUGGAAGAACACCGGUGGCGCAAGCGGCUUGCUGGGCUGUAACUGACGCUGAGGAACGAAAGCUAGGGUAGCGAAU
rnacentral:rRNA from 1 species